GGGGGCAUGGCUCAGUGGAAGAGAGCUUACCUAGCAGGCAGGAGGCCCUGGGUUCCAUCCCCAGCAACUGUCCCCC
rnacentral:tRNA from 1 species